GAUGAACGCUGGCGGCGUGCUUAACACAUGCCAGUCGAACGGGAAACCUUUUAUUGAAGCUUCGGCAGAUUUAGCUGGUUUCUAGUGGCGGACGGGUGAGUAACGCGUGGGUAACCUGCCUUAUACAGGGGGAUAACAGUCAGAAAUGGCUGCUAAUACCGCAUAAGCGCACAGAGCUGCAUGGCUCAGUGUGAAAAACUCCGGUGGUAUAAGAUGGACCCGCGUUGGAUUAGCUGGUUGGUGGGGUAACGGCCCACCAAGGCGACGAUCCAUAGCCGGCCUGAGAGGGUGAACGGCCACAUUGGGACUGAGACACGGCCCAGACUCCUACGGGAGGCAGCAGUGGGGAAUAUUGCACAAUGGGGGAAACCCUGAUGCAGCGACGCCGCGUGAAGGAAGAAGUAUCUCGGUAUGUAAACUUCUAUCAGCAGGGAAGAUAAUGACGGUACCUGACGAAGAAGCCCCGGCUAACUACGUG
rnacentral:rRNA from 1 species